ensembl:lncRNA
GAAGCAGGUCAGCUGAAGUUUAACACACUUGCAAGUUAUUUCAUAACAUUUCACACAAACAUCAAUCAGUUUUGUUAACAUUACUUCAGGAUGUACUGCAAGAUUUAAAACCAUUGAAUUAUAAUAGCAUAUAGCCACAACAUGCUAUAUCUCACAAAUAUCUUUGUUUGUGAGAGAUAAUCUAUUGUGACUAUAUGUUAUAUUAGUAUUAUAUAUUCAAUAACAUAUAUUAUUCAAAUAACAAACUAUAACUAGUUGUGCUUGUUAAAUGCUAAAACAAAAAGCCCAGCUGUGUUUUUGAGUACAUAUUGUGCCCUGUUUUCAAGCAACAUUGUUAUACAUCUGUUUUGUGAAGGCAUUAUAGUUUCUAUGCCAUUUCAACUGCUUAAGCAGUGCAAGACAUUAACAUACAGUGGAACGUGAUGGAAAUGACUGUGAUAAUAUCAUUACGAUAAGAUCAGUGAAGGCUGCGAUAAUACAGAUUUGCUCUAAUACUCAUUUUAAUGACAUUUUCAUUUAGUCUCUUAAUCCAUGUCCUCUGGCUGGUAGUUAAGGUCUGCGUUUGUGCAGCUCUUUUGUUGAGUGAGCAAGUAUUGCACUGUGACCUUUGCAGAUUGGGAUCUACUCUCACCGCUCGCGACGGCACGCACUUCAAGUGGUGCUUUUGAAGGCGCCAAAAUUGAUUUCUCUACAGCGAGCCGCGGCGUCUCUGACGUGAGGAAUGUUUACAGGUAUCCAUGAGGUCUUAGAGAGAGCUGCUGUGUGUUUAAUGUUUACAUGUUUACAGGUAUCCAUGAGGUCUUAGAGAGAGCUGCUGUGUGUUUAAUGUUUACAGGUAUCCAUGAGGUCUUAGAGAGGGCUGCUGUGUGUUUAAUGUUUACAGGUAUCCAUGAGGUCUUAGAGAGCGCUGCUGUGUGUUUAAUGUUUACAGGUAUCCAUGAGGUCUUAGAGAGGCCUGCUGGGUGUUCUCCUUUGACAAAUGAACAGUCUCUCUCGACUCCAGGGACUGCUGAGAAUAAGUAUCACGGAGUUCAUAGUACCAAUGA